AUGUCAUCUGACUCUAGUAUUCUUGCCUGGGAAAUCCCAUGGACAGAGGAGCCUGGCGGGCUACGGUCCAUGGGGUUGCAAGAGUCAGACAUGAUUUAGCAACUACACAACAGUAUUCCAUAGAAUACUGUUUGUCUGCACUGUUGUCAAAUAGCCCUACUGGCGACUUUAGGCUUCUCUGCGCUUUUCAAUAUCUGAAGUCCUUGCAUCUAUGUUCUCCCACACGCAUGUAUUUCUGAAGUCAGUUGUGUAAAUAAACAGAAUAAUGGUUUUCCAAAGAGGCCCACAUCCUAAUCCUCAGAACCUGUGAGUUUGUUUCCUUCUAUGGAAGAAGGUCUUGCAGGUGUGAGGCUCUUGAGAUGGAGGUAGUCUCAUGAAUAAUCAGGUGUGUCCAAUAUAAGGCACCUUAUAGGAGGGAGGCAGAUGGUACCGAGUCAGAAGAGGAGGUACAGAGAUGCACCCAGGGGAGGUGAGGAACUGUGCUGACAGAGCGAAGGGCGGGAUGACACCAUUGCUGGAAGUCCUAAGAAAAAGUACGCCAACACCCUCCAGAAUCUAGAAAAAGGUGGAUUCUUUACCAUCUGAGCCACCAGGGAAGCCCAUGGUCACAACUCUAGCUGACCAUGAAACCAGACAAAGGUAGAGACCGGAAGUCCUAUUUCCACCUGGCCACCAGACAGAGCCCAAAAUUGAAGCAAACACAGAAGAAGCAAGAAGCAGAGAUAGGGGGGAACCGAGGCCUGCUAACAUCCAGGGUCACUCAUCAUAUGCCUGGCCACUGGGAGGAGGACAAGAGACAACAGGAAGAGGAUGGCUGAGAACAGAAAGCAGCCUGAGCUGGUGAAGAGUUGGUGAAGUCGGGACCUGCCUGCAGAGGUAAAGAUCCAGUGUGUGGCAUCCCUUCUGCUUAUGGAAGCAGCAGGAUAAGCUGCAACACCAGCAAGGCUCCAGAUAAGAAAGGACAAAUUGGCUUGGACACUUCAGGGAGGGUCCCAGACUGAGCCCUCCCACCUUCAGCAGAGCCUGUUCUUUUCCAAGAGCAGGGACAUCUGACCCAAGCUCACACAGGAGCCAGAGGGAGCUUCCCAGUUCAUCUGAUCCUUGACUGGGGACAAAACUGUGUGGAUAAACAAGAAUAGUGUGUAUAUCAGAUUUCUGAUGCACACUCGUGGCUCCUGGCCCUUCUCUCACCUGCAAAACUAACCAUGUGGAUUCCACCUAUCUUCUCUUGGGGAGCGCUAGCCCCUAUCAUGCCAGGAUGUCCGGACUACCUUCUUGCAGUUAAGCCUCCUUCCUUGUAUGAAAUCACAGUGAAAACAGAUGACAGUUUGCAUAUGUAAGUGGCAAAA